GCACAGGUGCUGCAUGGCCGUCGUCAGCUCGUGCCGUGAGGUGUUGGGUUAAGUCCCGCAACGAGCGCAACCCCCGCCGUUAGUUGCCAGCGGUUCGGCCGGGCACUCUAACGGGACUGCCCGCGAAAGCGGGAGGAAGGAGGGGACGACGUCUGGUCAGCAUGGCCCUUACGGCCUGGGCGACACACGUGCUACAAUGCCCACUACAAAGCGAUGCCACCCGGCAACGGGGAGCUAAUCGCAAAAAGGUGGGCCCAGUUCGGAUUGGGGUCUGCAACCCGACCCCAUGAAGCCGGAAUCGCUAGUAAUCGCGGAUCAGCCAUGCCGCGGUGAAUACGUUCCCGGGCCUU
rnacentral:rRNA from 1 species